rnacentral:rRNA from 1 species
UACGGGGGGGGGCAAGCGUUGUUCGGAAUCACUGGGCUUAAAGGGCGCGUAGGCGGUCCGACAAGUCAGGGGUGAAAUCCUGCAGCUUAACUGCAGAAGUGCCUUUGAUACUGUCGGUCUUGAGGGAGAUAGGGGUGUGUGGAACUUCCAGUGGAGCGGUGAAAUGCGUUGAUAUUGGAAGGAACGCCGGAGGCGAAAGCGACGCACUGGAUCUCUUCUGACGCUGAGGCGCGAAAGCUAGGGGAGCAAACGGG